GGGGGUGAAACGGUUUCGACGUUGAGUGUCGAGGCGUUGGAAGCGAGCCGGGGUCUCCGGGGCCCCGUCAACAAACCGGAACAACAAACAAGUGCCGAAGACAACUUCGCACUGGCUGCCUGAUUGAACAGCCCGUCUCGCCGAUCCGCUCCCGCCGGGUCGGGUCGAGGCGUCGCAAUGCGGGAUGCUCCGUCCGGGGUGUCGGGACCGGACGGAAAAGACGCUUCCGACUAGGUGCGAGGAAACUCGUCGUCAGAGUUCUCGCAACCGAAGCUCGCUGACGACUGCGCUCGGAGAUGCCUUCGCCGAGGGCUCAGCGGACCGGGGUUCGACUCCCCGCACCUCCACCA
rnacentral:tmRNA from 1 species